GGCAGAGGGAGACCGGCUUCCGUGAGCGCACACCGUGCGCGCAUGAGGAAAGUCCCCCCACCCGCUGGGCGGGUGACCGGGCGCAAGCCCGGGGCGGGAGACCGUCGGCGCUGGAACAGAAACGAGACCCCUCCACCCGACCGAUGAGGCGUGCGAACCCGGACCGACGCGGCGCGAGCCGAUAAGGAAUGGGGAGUUGACCCGCCGAGGGCCGGGCCGUUCCGCGAAGAACGGCCAACGGGCGGGCGGCGGACGCCGCUGGCCCGCCGCGUCGCGCCUUCCGGCGCGACGCAGACGGUGGAGAACGGAUGGAACGGCGAAUCCUCACCGGUGCAAGUCCGUGCCGACAGGUAGCCCGGCACCGCGCGAACGCGCUGGGCACGGACGCUGAGCCGAAUGCCGAGAGAACAGAAGGGGGCUUACUCCCCUCAGCC
rnacentral:RNase_P_RNA from 3 species